rnacentral:rRNA from 1 species
UGUGUAGGCGGUUGGAUAAGUGUGGUGUGAAAUCUCCCGGCUCAACUGGGAGGGUGCGCUACAAACUGUCUGACUAGAGUGUGGGAUGGGAGAGUGGAAUUCCUGGUGUAGCGGUGAAAUGCGUAGAUAUCAGGAGGAACACCGGUGGUGUAGACGGCUCUCUGGACCAUAACUGACGCUGAGACACGAAAGCGUGGGUAGCAAACAGGAUUAGAUACCCUGGUAGUCCACGCCCUAAACGAUGCAUAUUUGGUGUGGGUCAUUCAUUUGAUCCGUGCCGGAGCUAACGCGUUAAAUAUGCCGCCUGGGGAGUACAGUCGCAAGGCUGAA